GACGAACCGAGCGAACGUUGUUCGGAAUCACUGGGCUUAAAGGGCGCGUAGGCGGGUGUUCAAGUCCGUGGUGAAAUCCUCCGGCUCAACCGGAGAACUGCCUCGGAUACUGAAUGUCUCGAGGGAGAUAGGGGUGUGCGGAACUUCCAGUGGAGCGGUGAAAUGCGUUGAUAUUGGAAGGAACGCCGGAGGCGAAAGCGGCGCACUGGAUCUCUUCUGACGCUGAGGCGCGAAAGCUAGGGGAGCAAACGGGG
rnacentral:rRNA from 1 species